rnacentral:rRNA from 1 species
UUAAAUUGAAGAGUUUGAUCAUGGCUCAGAUUGAACGCUGGCGGCAGGCCUAACACAUGCAAGUCGAACGGUAACAGAAAGCAGCUUGCUGCUUUGCUGACGAGUGGCGGACGGGUGAGUAAUGUCUGGGAAACUGCCUGAUGGAGGGGGAUAACUACUGGAAACGGUAGCUAAUACCGCAUAACGUCGCAAGACCAAAGAGGGGGACCUUCGGGCCUCUUGCCAUCGGAUGUGCCCAGAUGGGAUUAGCUAGUUGGUGGGGUAACGGCUCACCAAGGCGACGAUCCCUAGCUGGUC